GCCCCCACGAUUGUCGGGAGCACCCCAGCUGCCCAGGGCAGUCUCCGACGUCUCUUUCUGGAGGCCGUACCUCAACUGUUAACAUGUACCUUUUUCUUAAACUUGGAGGGGGCUCCUCAAGAUUUGUGAGCAAGUGGUUUAUACAAGACGUGCUCUCAGGGAAGGCCAUUCCAGGAGGCAAUGCGGGCAGCAAGAGAGGAAAGGGGAUGAAGCCACACGGCGAGCAGACACUUGCCAGCUCCCUGCCCUCGGCCCCCAGCCAGCGUCUUAGCCUUGGCAGGACGCUCAGGGAAGGAUGCUGACUUCUUGGAAGAGACAACAGAGCUUCACGGAGGGAACGCCAGCCUGGGGGCGUGGCCCUGCUCCCGCCAGGAUGUGGAGAACGCUUGGCCAUGUGGGUUUGCUUUAUUUGUGACAAAUUGUGCUUGGGGCUUUGGAGGGCGUCAGGAUUGCUUCCUCAGCAGCUGCGAGUGCAGAGGAGGGACUCUGGCCCUUUGUAGGUGAUGGAUGUUACCUGUGCACAUACCCUCCAUCUCCGCUUGUCCUGCGGAGAAAUGCCUGACUCCACCCUUGUGACAGGCAGUGGCUUUCAAAUAGAAAACUUUUUUGAACCAAUUCCGACUUUAGGAAAGCAGUGUUGGUGUUGGUGCUCCUUUGUGGAAUAGGAACGUAUGCUUGGUUUAGAAGGAAUGCCACGUGGCCCAUUUGUCUUCAGUGUUGAAUCUGUGUUUAGGAGGACUUCCUGGAGGUGACGGCAACCUUGCACAGUGGGACUGAGUCUGGGAUGAUUUUUUGCUGUUGGAGGCAUGCUUUACCAAGGAGUCACAGCACCUAUUUCACCUAUCGCAUCGACUCAUCGAAUCCUGCCUAUUGGGAUCUUCUGGACACAGGUCUCACUUUCCGGAAGGUUCUUUGAUGUCCUCCUCCUUCUAAGUAUCAAAUGCUGCUUUGGAGAUAUUUCUGGAAGAGACUGCAGGGCUGGCCCGCUCCCGGCCCCCUCGGCCUGGGCAGGUGAGAAGACAUGGAGUGCACGUCACGCCUUCAUUAAGGACGUGUGCCUGAGGAUCCUGCCCGUUUGGGAGCCAUUGCUCGCUGAGGAGCCGACUUGGUGAAGAUUAUACUGUGGGUCUGUCGUCCCAGUUGUCCAUGGAAGCUUGUCUGCCCAGUGUGACUUUCGUUUUUGAGGACUCGAGCACAGGAUCUCCUUCUCCUGGACAGAACCCUUCUUUGGUAUUUAAAAGAUGAAUCAUGCGUGGACCUGCCCUCGGUCAGCAUCAAGUCAUACCCAGAAGACUUGCCAGUACAACGUCAGGCUUAGGAGAGCGACGUGUUGUCAGACCCUUUCAAGGGUAACUCAUGAGUGACGGUGGACCACAAAGCACCGACUUUGUUUAUGAUGGUUUCAAGCCUGAUCAACCAACCGGGUGAGUCCAUCUCAGAGGACUUCCUGGAGGUGGCGUCAGCCUUUGGGAAGAAGCUGAGAUGUGCUCGUUAAUCCUCCUCUUCAGCGUUCAGGCGGAUGUUCUGCCGCUCGUGGUCCCUCAGAUGAAUCUAUAAGCGCUAGUUCUAUUUGUGACUUGUGGUUCAAGGCCCGCCUGGAGACUGUCCGCAGGAGCUGCGUGGCCCUGGGGAAGAGCUGUGGGAGCCACACCCCGCCAGCCAGGUACGUGGAUGUUAGAAGGUCGGGGGAAGUGCUUCUGUCUUGACGUUUGUCCUCUGGUCCUCUGACCUCCUGCAUUCUGUUCACGCUUAGGACGACGGCCGGAGGAAGAGGGCUCUGAUCUGUUUACGGAGACAUUUCUCGGGCCAUGUGACUGUCCGCUUUCACCCCCUGGCUGCCAUGGGGGGCAUCACAGCAGCGCCCCUGGAGGAGAACGAAUGCCGUCUGAGACAGGUGAGCCUCUCACUUGGGGAUGAGUCAGGUCGCCCACUCACCCGUGGCUUUCUGCUCCUUCCGUGGGGACCCCUUCAGCAGGGGAGGCCGCCAUGGGGAAUGGGUCAUGGCUCUGCUUUCUCCAUUACUCUCUGGUACGUGGGGUUUGACUCCUUUUCCAUAUCAACUUUUUCCUAGUAUGGCCUCCUGGGCAUGAAGUCAACCUCCAGGAGCGUGGUGGGGAGGAGGCUGGUGCUGGGGAACAACAUUGAUCUCCCUGCCUCUGUGGGAGGUAUGAUGGGUUGGUGACCACAGGGCCUUUGCUUUGUCUGCGGUGUAAAUUCACCAGGUCCCCUUGCCCUCAGUGCCCAGUGCGUUAUCAGGAAAACUUCCUGGAGAAGGUGCCCGUGCUGGUUCUGCCCCAGCAUCGUUCUACAGAAAGCAAGGAGCCGAGCUCGUACACUGAAAGGUCAUGGGGUUGAUCCCCUUUUCAGGAACAAGUCCUGAUUUGGAGAGAUUCUGGGAAAUGAUGCCAAUUUCAGUGAAGGGGCACUGGGGUCUGCCCCUCCUUGGCCUCUGAGGGAUGGAGAGCUGACCAGUGAGCACACACCUGGCAGGCGGUGUGUGUCCCCUGGUCUGCUGAUCCUGCCUCUCCAUCCUACUCCCCAGGAUGAAUCCCGGGAGACGAGGCCAGCCCCCUGAGUGAUAGCCAUGGACCUGCCCAAUGCUCUUGUUUGGUACUUAAAGCGAGGUUGCCCUUUGUAUAUUCGGUUUAUUGACAUAGAAUAUACAAGGGCAAGCUCUCUGUGAGUAUCAAACCUUGUCUGGGAGUCUCCUUGGACCCCGUCCACACUCAGCAAGGGAUGCGGUAUGUGUGUGCAUGAUGGUGCGUGUCCAUUUGGUGUGUGGCAAAUCGCUCUGGGUCACCAUUUUGCAGAGACGACGUUAGGGCAGGCUGGGGCCUGUUUGGCGUGGGGGGGUCAGAAGGCAUGCGCUGUGUGUGCUCUGGUCCCGAGCCGGCCGGUCAACAUCGGUGUGGGGCGGUUUUAUCGUCAUGUGGUGUUUUGUACUUGAAUGUGCACGUUGAUGCCCGGGGCCUGUGACCUGGUCCACUAACCCUCAGCAUCUAAUUCAUCUCCAGGUCUGCGCCUUGAAGACAUACCAAGUCCUCCCAAGGCGGUGGCUUUCUUUUCCGUGCUAACCUUUGGUACUUGGAGAGUGGUUAUCCCUGUCCUGUUCGUUUUAAUUACGUCGAAUCGUACAGGGUCAUCCACUUUUUCAGUAUCAAGAGCGCAGACUGUAGAGCUCGAUUUCCUGUGUUUGGAUCCCGCCUCUGACGCUUACUAACCGUGCGACCUUGGGCAAGGAUUUCGUCGUGCUGUGCCUGCUGUCUCACGGGUCCAGUGGGAGGCGGAGGGCGGCUGGGGGCUGGAAGAGUUAAGACUUGUCCGGGCUCAGACGCGAGCCUGGUGCUCGGCACCUCCUCAGCCGUAGCCUUGACGCUUAUGUUCUAUGAAACUGUUGGUGUUGGUGUUAUUAUUAAAAUCUCUCCUUGAAGUUUUGGAGCAAUGUCGAGAUGUGGACGUCAAACCCUCCGUCAGGUAUGUGACUGGAUUAUGGAGCCCAGAGUUUACACCAUAUUUAGGAUGGGGGUGACCGAGGGGUCUGGAUGUGGAGCAGCUAAGCCCUUCCAUGAUGGCAUUUGGAAAACGAGGCCAAAUGGAGUGGGAUCAGCAGGCCCGAGACGGCAGGGCCACCCAGAAUGUUUUCUCCAUGUAAGAGGGGCACUCCUUGGAUCCUUGACCUCAUCCCGCAUCCACCCCGGAAGGAUUCUCGGGCGUGGGCGCUGAGCAGAGUCAGGAGCGGGUUCUGGGGCAGCUCUCCUCCCUAGAGCUUGAAGAGAGGUCAUCCUUGGGGCAUGCCUCAUGCGUGUGUGUGUGUGGUGUGUGCACACGUGCGUGUGGGCCUGGGUUUGCUGAGUUUCAGUCAUCGUCCAGCCUAGAGCGGAAGACCUGGAGGUGCCAGUGUUCCCGUCCGUGCCGCUGUUUCAUACUUGAGGAGAAAUUAUCCUUGCUGUGUUCGCUUUAUUUGUGAUGAAUCAUACAAGGACAAUUUCUUUUUGAGUAUCAAAUCCUGCUUCAGCGGACCUCCUGGACUCCCUGACAAAUUCGGAAAAGCGUUGUGUGCGUCAGCCUCUCCCCGGGGCUCCAGCCGGGAAGGGAAUGAGAGAGCAUGCGUCCAGCUUGUGCUGAGAGCCCUGUGCUCCAAGCCUCAGGACCCUGGAGACAGGGCCUCGCUCGGCAAGGGGCUGGUGGGCUCCUUGGUAUUGCCUCUCACCCACAUUGGUCAUGGGUGUGUUUUACGGGUGACACGGCACUCAUGGCUCAUCAAGUCCUGCUUCUUGGAGGCGCUUCCUGGACGUGAAGCCAAUUUUGGCAACGGGUCGCUGGUGUCAGUGCCCCUCGUCCUGCCUGAGGAUGUGACUGACCCCUGAGCAUGUGCCUGACUCUCAGUAUGUGAAGCUGACCCUCUAACCUGCAUUGUCUGGACCACCUGAGAACUUUCUGGAAGGGACGGUGACUUUGGAGAAGACGCUGAGCUCUUCUGGAUGGCGCAGGUCUUUGGUGCUUAAAGAAUGGCUGUCUGUAGUAUGGUCUCCAUAUUCAUGGUGAUUAAUAUCGGACAACCAUUGUUUUAGUAUCAAAUUUGCUUCACAAGUUUUCUCCAGCGCCGUGCCGACUUCAGCAAGAGAACACUGGUGCCUCCCCGCCCUGCAGAGCGUGACUUUAUUGAAGAUCUCUAAUAACUAAUUCAGUGACCCCAGAAUGCAAGCCAUUGGGGUGAUUUCCUUGAACUAAUACCAGCCUUGGGGUGGAGAUAGAAAUUGGGUGCUCGGGGCCAUUUGGAAGAUGUUGGUAAUUUUCAUCUGUCUUUCUCUUCUUGUGAUUAACUCUUAGCCUUGAGGAAUUCCUUAAAGAGAUGCUGAUGUCAAGCAUCUGUCUAGGCAGCUAGAUGGUGGACCGGGGCAUCUGGAUCCGCGUCCCCUGAGCUUUGGCAUGCAUUCUGAGCAUGGAAGACUUCCUGGAGGAUAUGCAAACGUUGAGGAAAAUAGUACAUUUCUUGCCGCUACUCCUGUUUGGUGCUUCUGAGCGCAGUGCAUUGAAUAUUCAGUUUAUUUUUGAUGGACAUGGCAUGACCACAUGCCUUCUCUUGGAUCCACAUCAUUUUAGAGAUUCUCAUGGAAUACAAACUUUAGGAAUCAGACAUUGUGGUCAAUGGCACCUCUGGGGGUGUGCGUGCGUGUGUGUGUGUGUAUGUGUGUGUGUGUGAGUUGUUGGCUAGAGCAGUGUUUCUCAAACUUUAAAAUGCUUCUAAGAUUUUCAUCACCUAGGGAUCUUGUUAAAAGGCAGAUUCUGAUUCAGGGACCAAGAUUCUGCAUUUUUAGCAAGUUCCCAAGUGAUGCUAACGCUACUGGUCAGUGGACAACACUCGGAACAGUUCAGGGCUGGAGAUUGUGUGCUUUAUCUGUGAUGUGUGUCCCCAGAUCCCCACCUUCCAUAUGCCAUCCAUCAUGAGACCACUUCCCAGAAUCAAUACACUGCUCUUUGGUUUGUGAACAAGGGUUAUCUGUGAUGGCUCACUUGAUGCAUGAAUGUCAUGAGGUUUCUCUUCCUCAGAAUCAAAUCAUGCUUCAAAGGGCUUCACAGAUACAAGACCCGCUUAAGGGAGAGGCCCCGAGUGUCCGCCCAGUGCAAGAUACGUCAGGUGCUGGCUCAACAGCAUUACUGAUGCCUCGGGCCAUCUAAUUCUGUAAUCCUCCAUUUCCAGUCGGUCUGAAGGAGGAGUUCCUGGAACCGAGGCCAUCCUGCGGUGGAGACCCUGUCUCGGGGAUUCACGAUGCUCCAUUUUGUCAGCAGAGGAUGUGCACACCCGAUUCCCUGACCCUUGGGAUUCAGCUCAUCCUAAGAAGAAUCUUCUAGAGGCAAAGCCCACGGUGGGGAAGAGGCCAUGGUUUUCGUUUCAGAACUGUUCAAGGAUAUUUGAGGAGAGGUUAUCCGUGUUAUGUUCGCUUCAUUCAUCAUGAAUAAUACAUGGUUAACCUCUUUUUGAAUAUCAGACUCUGCCUCGGAGGGCCGCCCGCACAAGAGACGUGAGAGCGUGUGCCUUGUGUGGGAUGUGAGCCCGGGGCGUCCUGAGCUCCGUGAGGCAUGCUUCCUGGAAGGGCGGCGCCGCUGGGGAGAGCCCGGGUCGCUUUGCAGUGUUUUUGCAGUGAACUUUUGCGGUGUUUUUGUGGUUUGUAUGAAGUUGCCCCCGCUUUCAAUGCUGACUUGCCUUGGAGUGAGGGUGUGAUGCAAGCUCAGCUCCAGAGAUGGGGCCUCUGUGUCCGCAGCACUGCCGGGCAAGUCGGUGGGCGCCUGAUCGCCGAGCCCACCCCCAAGGCUCGAGCUCUCCCUGGCACUGAUCCUCUAAACUCAGUCCUUUGCAGGGCGGCUUCCUGGAGGCUGGGCGGGGGAAAAGAUGUGGUUUCCGCUCCAUCCGGACACUCGAGGGAAGGUCACUUCCUUCACGAAGACUCCUCUGAGGGCAGUCUGCUUUGGAAGGUCAAGUCCAACCGGUUGACUGGCUGGAUGCAGGGCCACCAGCUCCCCAGGUGUGUGAAAGGCCAGCCGACCUCUGCUCGACCUCCCCGUUUCUCUCCGAGGUCACCCAUCCCAGUGUCCAUCUCCUCUGCAGGUAGAUUUCCAUGAGGCACUGCCGGCGUAGCCAGAGGGGUUUACCGUCCCGCUGCCUGGCACUUGGAGACACUGGCCCUGAGCUGCACUCCCUUCGCUCAUUCUUGAUGGAGACCAUGCAGCCGAUGCCUCUUCCUCUCUUCAGCUCUGUCUCACAGGGCUUCCUGCACGUGGCGCUCAGUGCAGGAAUAGAACCCAUGCUUUUGGGGAAGGGAGGCUGGCCCAGAUCCCAAAUUUGGUGGAGAUGUCACCUGCGCCCCACUACCUUCAGGAUGUCGUCUGCAUUGAGGGCGACAUCCUGGAGCUGCUGCAAUGCCCUGCUCUUCCCCAUCUUGAUGACUUUAUUGAUUCGUGAUUACCAGCAUGGUUGAGGCCUUUCAGGGAAUCAAUGCGGGAUGGACGCCUGGUGGGGGCACCAGCUUCACAGUAAGAAAACUCUCUGCUUCCCCGUGAGGUAUGUGAGUACAGAGUUGACCCCGGGUGUGCACUCUGUUGAUGAAUGUCUUACCCCGUCCACUAACCCAGAGAUUUAUACCACUCUCAGGAGAGGCCCCAGGAACAGCAGAAGCUUUGGAGAUGGGAUGGCGUUGUUCUUGUCAGUGUCCGCACAUGAGGUUUGACAAGGGACCAUCAGGGCGCUCUUCCGUCGUCUGUGACAGAUACCACAGUUGACCUCAUUCUGGUACCAUGGAAGAUGGUGUGGAGGUGUCCUACCUUCAGGGAGGGCUCUGUGUCAGCCCCGUCACACAGUUACAUGGGCGGAGGGUCAGCAUGUGAGGUCCACAGGCCCUCAGAACACAAUCCUUCUUUUGGGGACUUCCGGGGGCCAGGCCAUUUCAGUGCUCAGCUCCACCUCAUCUCCCUUGAAGAUAGUUUCCAUCUGUAUUUAUGGCGUAUAUUAAAUGGUCUUUCAGCUCUCGUUAUCCUACCUGGCCCCCGGGGACGUCCCACAAGAGAGGAGUACUGCAGGAUGACAUCCGUCAGGGAUGGAAUUCCAGCCUUUACCUCCCCAGUACUUGAAAGGAUGGUCUAUCCCAGAGCCUGUGCCUAGUUAGCAUUCAGCCACUAGACCCCCAAGCUGUAGCAUCGAGGCCUUGGAUGCUCCACCUCCGGGGAUGAGCAGCGUCGGGGUUGACUGUGGGGUGUCACCGUGUUUGUGGUUAAUCACAUCAGAGCUGCUGUUUUUCAGGACAAACCGGCACCUGGAGAUGUGCUCCUACAGGACUCCAACCCGAGAGCCGAGUGUUGUCCAUGAUAGGGGAAUGGAUGGUUGAUCAGAGAACAUACAUUUUAUCAAUGAUGUAUGUCAACUGAUCCACAGUCCCUACCUAUCCAGAGACUUCUCAGGACAGACUCCGGGAGAAGAGGAGGUGGCUUCCUUAGCCCUGUAGUACUUGGCCCUUGCAAAGACCUUCUCCUAGCCGAGUUGGCUCUAUUUAUGCUGAGUCAUAUGAGGGAAGGUUUGUUUUUUUUAAGUAUUGAUCUUGCCUGGAAAGCUUCCUGGGAAGAGCUGUUGGCCUCAGCCCCUUCCCAGGAGACAAGAAUGCAUGGUUGGCCAGAGAGCAUGGGCUUUGUCUACACCGUGCACCACCCAACUCUCCUAACCGUCAGUCCCCAAUUCAUCCUUAGGAGGACUAGCUGGAGGCAAGGCCGACUCUGGUGAAGACACGUUCAUCAGCGUUAGCCUUCGGUACUUGAAGAGUGGUUAUCCCUGCUGUGUUCGCUGUAUUUAUGACGAAUCAUACAGGGACAUCCAGUUUUUCAGUAUCAAAUACUGCUUUGGAGGGCUGCCUGGACAGCGUUCCGCCUCUGGGGAAGAGCUCUUGGCUUUUGUACCUGCACAAGGUACGUAUGUGGAUGGUGGAUCACAGUGCACAUGCUUCCUUUAAGAUGCAUGUCACUCGUUGCACCAUGAGCAGAAUCUAAUCUCUGCGGAAGGUGGCCGCCGAGGAGGGCUGUGGUAUUCCAGAAGGGGUGCUGGUAUCGGCACCAAACCAUCAUGGAAAGUUGACCAGUGAGGAUCCCACUCACACAGAACAUCUGCCACCGGUUUCUCUUUCCAUCGUACGAAACCCCAUCCUUUUGUAGGGUGACUCCCUGGAGGCCGUGCCAACGUGAGGACGCGGCAGUGAUAUUGUGUGGUACCUAACUGGUCAUUCUUAUUGCAUUUGCUCCAGGGAUCACUCUUUUUGAGUGUCAAAUCUUGCCCAGGAAGGCUUUCUGGAAACAGUGCCAACGUCAGGGGAGACGUGUUGGCAUCGCGUCGUUCCAGGGCACACGGAGAGUUCGUUGAGCAGAGUCUACUCUUUGUUUCUGACAGGUCUCUCUCGGUCCACUCUCCCACAAGACCCAGCCCAUCUUUAUAAAUGCUUUGGGGAAGGGAUAUCUGCUUUGACUGUGAAUGCUUUUUCAAGAGGGCUCUCUUUUUCCUUUAUCAGAUUCUCUUAUUAGCACAACCACGUGGUCCAUGAAUUGAUCGAUCAACGAGGAAUGAUUUAGCCAUUCCACAAAUAAGGAUUGACUGUAUACUGUAUUCUAGUUGAUUCUAGACCUUAGCUGUUUCUUCUAAACUGGGGGUAGAGCAGUGAACAAGAUGAAGUCCUUGUUCACAUGGACUUUAUGAUCUCGUGGGGAGACGGACAGUAAAAUACAAACUAUGAAACAUAAUUUUACCCACUGUGGAGUUUUAUGGAGAAAAGGACAGCAGGGUAAGGUGGCAGCAAGAGGCAAAAGUGGAUGUUAUGUUAAAUACAGGGGUAUGGAAAGGUCUCUCUGGGGAGGGGGAGUGGGAACAGAGUAAGGGGAUGGGUCAGAUGGAGGUCUGGGGUGGGAGUGUUUUGGAACUAGGAGAUGGCACAUGAAAAGCCCUCUGGCGUCUUUGAGAAAAAGCAAGAAGGCCAGUGGGACUGGACUGAGCCAUGGAGGAGUGGAUCUGAGGUGAAAGAGGCAGGCUCAGAGGCUGGGGCCUGUUCAGCUUUUAUUCUGAGUGAGAUGGAAGCUCUGGGAGGGUUCUGAGCAGGGAGGGGUGUUUGGUCUCUGUUGAAAUGAUCACUGAUAACAGAGGUGGCCACAGAGAGCCCAUCUAGGCUGUUGUGUAGAUAUGGGGGUGAGUCAAUGGAAGGUGGUGCUAGGACAGGAGCCCCCACCAAGGUGGGGGACAUGGGGAACAUGGGAUGUCCUAAAGGGUAGAGCCUUUCGGAUUGGGUGGAUUGGGUGAGCCCAGCAAGGGUCAGGAGUGAGAAGGUGGGGAGGGGAUGGGCCAGAGGUUCUGAAGGUGAUCAUGGCUGAGUCAGGGUUCUAGAGUAAGUCAGUGGUAGCCCGGAGCUUUGGGAGAAAGUGUCAUGACUAGUACUGUCAGGAUCCAAGCUGAGGCAGUGACCCUGGGGCUGGAGGACCAGGUGAGAUGGAAGCAAAGGUCACUGGAAGUGAGGAAUCCCCAGGCCGCUGCUGGGGAGCUGGGUAUAGCAUCAACGUGUGGUGGUUAACGAUACGAGAAGGAAAUCGGGAGGUGUCAAGGGAAGAAGAUGGUGACCCAGAAGCUAUCAAGGAGGACCUGGGUGACCAUUAUCCAGCUGGUGGGCAAUGGGUCUCAUUUAUGCACUGUGAAUGAAAGGAAAAGGGGGGAAAAAUGGUCUGGAAGUAGAGAUGUGGAGCAAGGAUGCCAUCUACCCACUGCAAGCCUUUGGUGUGGGAAAUGGGAGGACAAAUAGCCCUCCAGAGGUGGAAGGCGCAGCAUGUGGAGGAGAAUGUGAUGGCCUGCUGUGAUGGGCCAUCAUUCCACAUGCGCCGUGGAAGCGCGGGGGCACGUGGAGGGAAGGCGGGAGAUGGGCUCUUACGUUGAGCCUCUGAGUAUGAGGAUUGGCUUCACCAGGAGUGGUGAAUUCAGGAAGUGGAACCUGGUCCGACUGGUCUGAGGUUGUUUGGUGAAGGUGGGCGACUGACUUGGUGGCAUCCUUUGUGGAAUUGCUUUCUUGGGCAGUUAUCAGGGUGAGAUGGGUGGUGGAGCGGAGCGGGUAGGAGGGGGUUGGGGGUCUCCCUGCAUCAUGGAGAGCUUGGUGAGCCUCCGUCAGAUGGUCCUGAGGGUGCCUCGGGCCCCGGGCCAGAGCAGCCAGCAGUGGCCUUGGGGCUCUCACUGGAACCACCCCCAAGUCAGAAAGGAGCUUGGCUAGUGCCUCAGCACGCUUGAUGGAUAACUGAGUGUGCUCUGUUGAGAAGUCCACUGUCCCCGUUCAGAAACCCUUGGGUCCACACACCUGUGGAGACCUCCUGACCUGUGCCGAGUUCACAUUGUGAAGCGCAAGUGGCCUCUCUCAUUUCUAAACCCCACCCCUGAGGACUCAGGAACGCAGUGUCAAAUCCGGGGAAGGGGGACUGUGGCAGCCCCACUCCAGGGCAGGUGAGUGGACGACCCCCCAGACUCCGGUGUGUUCUCAGGACACACGUCAACCAUCUCACUAACGCUCGGUGUUCCAUCUGCCGGCAGGACGGCGGCUGGAGGCCACGCCCCUUGGAGCAGUGGACGGGGACCCCUUGUCUGUCUUGUCUCUGCUUUUCUGUGGUACUUGAAGAGAAGUUGUUCGUGGUGGAUUCGCUUUACUUAUGACGAAUCAUUCACGGACAACACUUUUUUCAGUACCAAAUGCUACCUCUAAGGACCUCCUGGACACGAUGGCGGCUUGAGGGAAGAUGUCUCCGUGUCGUCAACCAUGUGGAGAAGACAGGAAUGGCUGGUUGGCCAGGGACACCAUGUUUGACUAGCUGUAAGUCAGCGGGUCCACUAACGAGAGCAUCCGAUCCAUCUGUAGGAGGCCUUCCCUAGGCCACGCCAACUCGAGGAAAACAGCCGUGGUUCUGUCACCAGCGUCACCUCACAAGACUUUGAAGAGAGGCUUCCUGAGCCCAAGGCCGACUUCCAGAAGAGAUGCUGGUGUCAGCACUGUCCAGGGUGUGUGACUGGUUGACCAGAGGGGCAAGCACUCUGUUCACCCUGUGGGCCACCUAGUCACCAACCCUCAGCACCCACCCCGCCCACCCCGGAAGACUUCAAGGAGGUCCUGCCAACUUUGGGCCCGCGGCAAUGGACUUGUGGUGGCGACUGCUCAGUGGAACUGGACAGCCGUGGUUGGGAGGGUGUGUUCACUUAAAAAUUGAUGAGUCAUCCUUGGUACCCCCUUCAUCACUAUCACUGUCACAGCAUCCUUGAAGCGUUCCUGGGACCUGACGUUGCCUGUUGCCUUCCGAUGAGGGACCUGAAGCGAGCGGGCCAGCUCCUCUCCAGGGAGGAUCCGUGGAGGUGGUGCCUGCUUUGGGAAGUGGCCGUGGUUCUCCAGUCAGUGCUGCUCCAUCAUAGGAACCGAAGGGCUACCACCAAGGCUACUUCAUGACGGCUAUAGAAUGCCACCCCCUCUUGCCCAGGAGGACUAACAGGACCCACCCCCUGAGGGUAAGUGCGUCUCGGGUGAGCAUGCAAUUGAUGUAGUAGUAUGUCACUCGGCCCACUACCCAAUCUUGUCCCACCCUUUCCUUACAGGGCUCCUGCGAGGGGCAGCCGCCUUUGCAGUAGAGGCAAUGGAUUUCUCGCCAGUGUUCGCUUUUGGUACUUGAAGAGAGGCUGGCCGUGAUGAAUUCGAUUCAUCAAAGCGAGUCAUACACGGCUCUCCUCUCUUUUAGUGUCAAAUUCUGCCUCGGGGGGCUUCCUGGGCCAGUGCUGUUUCCAAGGUAGGUGCCGGGAUGGCUGAGCCCCUAGCAAGCGCUUUCCUGAGGAUGCGUGUUACUGACACACUAACCCCAGCGUCUGAGCUGGCCCUAAGGCGACUUUCUGGGGCAGCGCCAACUUUACGACGACCUAGAGAGGCUGUUGUAAUGCCCUAACUUUUAAAAAAUUAACAUUGAAAUGCACAUGGAUGACUUUUUUUACCAUCAAAUCCAACCUUGGAGGGGCACCCGGAAGCAUGUUUUAUUAGUCAGCUCUCAGAUAUGGGAGAGAACAGGAGGCAGGACCUGUGGGAACCCUGGUUUACCGACCCGCAGCAGCCCCACAUCCUCCAGGGAGCUCCUGUAGGGUGAUCCCAGCUUUACCAAGGGGCAGUGGCAACCUGUUCUUGCAAACUGUGUUCUUUCAAGAGCUCUUUGCUUCCUUUGUAAUGACUCUCACGCAGCUGACUUCUUUGCAUUGUUGACUGUUGCUUGCAUGGCCAGCCAAGUACAGGAAGUGGCCUUCCUGUCCCCACUAAUCCCGGGUUGGUGUACAAGGGGUUGGCCAGAGAGCAUACGUUUGGCAUGGGGAUUGAGCCAGUUGGUCCACUCAUGCUCGGUGUCCCGUCCACCCUCAGAGGCCAGUCCCAAGCCGCCCAGGCUGCAUGGACGCAGGGAUGCUGCGAGCAGCGCCUCCUCAUGGUACUCGGAGGGAGGUUGUCCGUGGUGAGUUCGCAUUAUUUAAUGAUGCCCAAUACACGGUCGAUCUCUUUUCGGUAUCACAUCUCGCCAGGCAUCUUCUUGGAGGGAGCUGAUGCUGAUUUCUAGGAAGCCACAGUCACGUUGGCCCCAGGACAGUGUACUGGAACAUGUGGGUGGCCCUGGAACGAGCGGGUAGGUGCUGCUAGUGGUCCCUGCCCUCAUUCGGUCUGUUCAUGGAAGAUGCUGCCGGUUUUGGGGAAGAAGCAUGUGCACUAGGUUUAAGAGCUUAAGUGACUGGGGAAACGGUGUCCGUGAUGCUUCUGAGGUUUUUUUGUUUUUUAAAGGAAAACAGUAGGUAGUUCCCUUCUCUUUCAGUAUUAAAAUUUGUCUUGGAGGGAGGACCCCUUAGAUAUGUCGGCAAAGUCAGGGAAGGGGCAUCACACUCAGCAGUUUUUUCUGGGCCAAGCGAGUGGGUGAGUCACCAUAUCUGUUGACCUGGAGGUCACCCCAAAUUCAAGGACAGAGGGCAGCUCUAUUUUUAAUUUAGUUUUUCUUUUCAAAAAGAAUAAUUAUUUUCCUUUAUCACCGUAUUUAUAAAAACAAUAUACUUAUAAUAAAAAAUUCAAGCAAGAUGGAAAAAUGUAAAUAAAAAGAGAGACAAUUACCCAAUUCUCUGUCCACCCAGAAAUAACCCUCAGGGUUUUAGAAAUUUCAAAUACCUAUCUGAGCAUAUAUGCAAAUAGGAAGGUAGAUAGGCAGAGAGAAAGAUAUUUUACAAAUCUGAGAUCACACUGUACGUGAUCCUUAUUAAAAGUGUUAACUAAAAUUUUACUGGAAUUUAACCUAAAGAAUGAGCUGAUGAAAAUUGGAAGAAUUGAUAAAUGUUUCUCCUUCUACCACAAGAAGUAUCAGUUCCUAAAAGAUCCCCAUAAAAAUCAAGAAAAAUUAUUGUGUAAAACAUUAAGUGGUUGGGAUCAUUAUAUAUUUUAACUGUUUCAGUUUCACUCCUAGUUCUGAAAUAUAAGAAAAUCUUUCUUACUUUUUUCCCUACUUCCUGAUUUUCUUUUUUGGUAUAUAAUUUAAUUUUUCCAUUAUAAAUAUGUGCAUUUUGUUCUAUAACCACAGUUUUUGCAGGUGUUUAAUCAUAGUUCUAUAUUUAAAUCGAUUCAUUACUGACCACUAGUUGGUUUUUUUCCCUUCAACAAAGCCUUUCGAUUCCUGAGUUUUUAAUUUCAGUGCAUCUCUCAAUAGAAUGGAUUUCUCAUUAUUUCUUUAAGAAGGGCUCAUAGAUGCUAGCCCUCAGUCCUGGCACGUUUGAGAAUAUGUCUCUCUCACUUCUAUACCCAAGGGACAGCUUAACUAGGUAUAAAAUCCUCAGCCUCUUUUUUUCCCUUAGACCCUUGUAGGUAAUGCUCCACGGUCGUCUGCUGUUAGCGUUUCCCUGGCUUUUUUGAUGGGGCCUUUCCUCACAGCUCUUCCUUAGCUGGGCUGCAUCACCUACGGGAUUUUCACGCACCUUGUUGGAAGACUUGGCGGCCCUCUCCUCCAGGAGGUCUUUCUUCUCUGAGAAUGUCUGACCACAGCUCUUCCACCUUUACUCAUCGGCCUAUUUUGUUUGAUACUGUUCUAGUCAGCCCCAUGAUUUCUAGCUCUUUUUCAUCUUUUUGGUCACUUUGAAGAUGCUUCUUGUACCAUUUCUCUCAGCCCUGGGGUACAAGUCCUUCUCUUUGUUGAGUCUGUCGACUCACGACGGUGCCUGUCUUCACGGGUCUGGUAACUUUUCAUUGUGAGAUUCCCGUUAGUGGGCAUUGGAGGGUUUCUGUUGCGUUUUGUUCCCUGUGCCAGAGCUGCAGCAGCACGCUUCUGCACGGGCGUCUGCCUGGCCCCCCAGGGGUCUCCCCGACUGGGACCGAUUUUCCCACGCGUUCGUUGGCUUCAGGAUUCCCGUCCCAUCGGCUGGUGUAAAUCCUCAUCACAGCUUUGUCCUGGAGCUUUGGCUUCUCAGAGGAGAGCUCCUCCUGCCCACUCUGCUGUCACUUCUCUGGGGCAGUAUAGAGUCUUCUGGCUCCCUUUUCUGUCCCAGGUCCCCACCUCUCUGGGGUCCAAGAUCACAUCUCCAGCUCGGACGUGACGACCCCAGGCUCUCCGAGCCUCCAGCCAGCACAGCACCACUUCGGUCUCUUGGUGGCAGGUUGCAAUCUUGUUGUUACGCAUUAAGUCUGUCUUCCCUGGCAGCUGAGGGUGUCCCUUCCUCCCAUUCCUUCCAGCUGUGCAUUUAUUUACCAGUUGUUUUUGGCUGGGGUUGCAUUUUAUCCAACAUUUCUCUGAGUUUGUGGAGGAGAAGGGCUCUCCCUUAGCUCUUCGCCAGGAUCUGACUCAGUCGCUAUGGUUCUUUUUCAGUUUUUCUGAAUCAUAUUAAGCCUUCUUGAUUAGUAAGGUUAGCUGUUCCUUCAUUUCAAGGCUGUCUUCUUCUAUGAUUUCUAUGAGUGCUUUUCUACUCUGUGUUAGUUUUUCAUGGGUUACAUGGUCACUUGUUUAUUUCCUUAUCGGCUAGAGGAGGAAAAAUCUGUGAUCUGACUCCAUCUGCCAUCUUUAUCUAGAACUCUCUCGACUGUCAUUUGCACUCUGCAUUUGCUCUUUAGAAUGAAUCAUACCCAGAUGCCCCCUCUUAGUAUCACCUUCCACCUUGGCAGGAUGCCAUUGCAGUGCCAGCUUCUGGGACGGACGUGGAGUCAACACCGUUUGCUAGGUAUGUGAAUUUACUUUUAACAAGGGAGGAUUUAUUUUUGAUCCUGUAUCUGCUGUUCUAUUAACCUUAAGUGUGCAUUUUACCCUUAGGGAGACUUCUUGGAAGUCGUGCCCACCUUUGCAGAUGAGGCCACAAUUCUGAGGUCAGUGCCGUGCUGUGGUCUAACGACGUUUGCAUUCCAUGCUGCCAAUUUUCUUUAUGAUCAACGUUGCAACGUCAACUUCGCCAUGAAUUCCCACUUUCGAGGGCUUCCUGGACACAAGGCCGCUGUGAGGAGGGGAUCUCUGCUGUCAGCUUUGAUGCUAAUGUGACAUGAGGAAAUGUUCCUUAAUGUGAUCAAAAUAGUGAAUUUUUAUGCGCUUAACCUCUCCACCUUCAACCCCACCCCCUCACCCCCACCCCGAAAGUGCUUCGUAGAUACCCCACCAAGCAUGGCAAAUGUGUCGAUGCCGGGCCCCUUCAGGGUCUAGGAUGGGACAGUUGAACACGGGGGUGUGUUUCACUUAUGACCCUCUCUCAGUCAGUCUGCUAACCCUCAGUGUUCACUCUGUCCUUAGGGGACUUCCUGGAGGAGGCCAGCUUUGGAGAAGAGGCACUGGCACCUGGUCGGUGCCAAUCCGCGGUACUUGGAGAUAGGUUAUCCGUGUUGCCUUCGCUUUAUCUGUGACGAAUCAUACACGGUUCACCUAUUUUUCAGUACCAAAUCCCACUUCAGGGCGGGGACUUGGUGUCAGCUCCUCUCCAGGGUAAGCGGAGGGACCGUUGACCCCGGCUGAGCACAGAGCAGGUGCUUUCCUGGUGCUGUGUGCCCGGCCCCAGCCCUCUGUGUGCCCCAUCCACGGGAACCUUCCUGGAGGUGGUGCCAACUCAGGGGAGGCAGUGCAGGUUUUCCUACCAGAGCUACUCGGCGGUGCUUGAAGAGAGGUCUUCCAUGAUGCAUUCGCUUUAUUUUUCGACGAAUCAUACAUGGUUGACCUUUUUUUAAGUAUCAAAUCUGGCCUUAAAGCACCCUGGGACGAGGCCAACUUUGGGAACUAGAGUUGGCGUGCGCACGCCUGAAUGGAUGGUCAAGCUGCGCGUGUGCACGAUUUCCCAUGUGUGUGUCACCCGUGUUCACUCACCUCAGUGUGUCGUCGUCCACCUCUAGGGGUGCGCCAGUUUCCCCGCGAGGCGGUAGUUUCAUUGUAGAGUCACUGUGUGAUUGACAAGAGGCCAUCCACGUUGCUUACUCUUUGCGCGUAACACGUGAUGCUCUGCACACCUCCGUGUGGCAGCGUGUCCCUCCCUGAACGGCUUCCUGGAAGGGGUGCUGAUUUCAAGGAAGGGACAGUGGGGUCCGCACCUCUCGCCUGGACCACAGAGCAUGUGUUUUGUUGACAGUGUGUGUUGCCAGCAUCCUCACUCUCAGUAUCCCGUCCGUCCUUAGGCCUGCUGUCUGGAAUGUGCCGGAAGCCAGCACCCUAGCCAGGUACUCGAAUGGAGGUUGUCCAUGGUGUGUUCAUUUUAUUUAUGAUGAGUAUUACAUGGCCAAUCUCCUUUCAGUACUAAAUUCUUCUUGGGAAAACGUCACAAGGGGAAGUUUCAGCCGGCGCCUGGCCCAGGUAAGGAAACGGGUCAUCUACGCAUAAGUGCUUUCUGUGUGACACGUGUCACCUGGCCCAGGAUGCCCAGGGGUGACACUCAUUUUAGGUGAGACCGUGGUGUUCUAGUCAUACCCUCCCUUCCUUGAGGGCUCAUUAGUGAAUGAGUGUAUUUGGUACAUGUCUUUUGGGGAUAAAAUCACCUUGGAUAUGAGGCAUGUUUUAAGGAAAGAGACUUUUGCGUCACCCCAACAGCCCGGCCGAGUGGAAGGCACACACUUUAUUUAUGCAACGUGUUACUACCCCUUCGGUGUCCUGAUCCUCGGGGUGACCUCCAGGGAGGUGGUGGUGGUUGGGGGUUCCCUCGGCAGUGAGAAUCGAUGAUAUUUGCAGACAGGUUUCCAUGGCAUGGUCUGUUUAUUCCUGGUGCAAGAUAAGAAUCAUUAAUAGCAUUUGUUAUUACUUUAUGUUUGCUAGCUGUGUGACCUUGGGCAAGGUACUUAAUCUGCCACGUCUCUGUGCCUCAGUUUAUUUGUCUGUAAAAUGGGGUUAAUGCCUAUUCAUAGGGUAGGUAUAAAAGUGCUAUAUAUGGGGGCUGGCCCCAUGGCCGAGUGGUUAAGUUCACACGCUCCGCUGCGGCGGCCCAGGGUUCGGAUCCUGGGCACGGACAUGGCACUGCUCGUCAGGUCAUGUUGAGGCGGCUUCCCACAUGCCACAACUAGAAGGACUCACAACUAAGAUAUACAACUAUGUGCGGGGGGCGUUGGGGAGAUAAAGCAGAAAAAAAAAAAAAGUGCUAUAUAUGAGCUAAAUGAUGGCAGUGUCUGGCACAUAGUGACAUUGAGUAAGCAUUGGCCCUGGUGAUGGUUGUUAUUAUUAUCUCGUUAUUGUAUCAUCGAUCUUCAUUUACUGUCCUUCCCCACAGAGUGCAACCUCCCAGGGCAGAGGCUUGUCUGUCCUGCCCACUGCUGUGUCCCGAACAGUGCACAGUAGACGUGAUGCUGACUGUGUGAGUAAUGGCUGGUUGGCUAUUUUCUUUAUUAGAUGCUCCCUUUGAGGCCUCCUGGAAGGAAGAGUGAAUGAAGGGCAGCCGCAAGCCCGUGCUGGCCUGAGGGUACCAUCCACGCCCCCUCGCAGAGGAGUGGCCGGUCUGCAGGUCAGGGACCCCAGGCUGGGAGCUGCAUGGACCCUGCCAUGCUCACAACACAGGGAGAGCAUUAGACAGCUGCUCCCUCUCUGUGUUAAAUCGCAGCUUGGGGACUUCCCGGGGGAGACGCCAGCUUUGGGACAGGACUUCAGUGUCUGUGCCUCUCUAGGGUAAGUGACCAGAUGCUGCCCCAAGCAUGGGCCUGACUUAUGCUGUGUGUUCUCAAGGCCCCAGCCGCCACCCACACCCAGCCGAAGCCAGCUCAGGGGACGAUCCCCGGUGCCUGAUACCCUCCCUGACGACACACCGUGUUCCCAUCACACGUGGGGCUCCUCGGAUGUCGUGGCAGCCUCAGAGAGAGAGACAGGAAUUGGUGUCAGCGCCGGCCUGGGGAGACGCGCAGCCAGACACUGGAGGCGGUGCCACCGGUGGUGAAGAGGCGUCCUGGUGGUGUUCUUGUCCCUGCCGACGUUUGAUCCUUGAGCAGAGGUUGCCCUUGGUGAAUUCGCUUUAUUUAUGUUGAAUCACACAAAGGCAACUUUUGUUUGAGUAUCAAAUCCUGCCUGGGAUGGCUUCCGGGACCCAGCCCAGGGUCUCCACCUCUCCCGUGAACGAGAACGGAUGGUGUAGACGUGGGUGUCUACACGGCUCCAGUGGACAAGAAUGAACGUUGAUCAGAGAACACAAGCUCGAUCCGUGACAUGGGUCACCUGGGGCCCUUGCAGGAAGGUGUGAGUGCUACCUGCUACCGUUUUGGCCUGGGACCUCUGUCUUUACGUCACCAUUUUGACCACUGACCCCAAAGGCACUCUGCCUCCACCACUUUUUCUCUGAAGGUAUUUUGACCUUGCGGAUAUGUAGAGUUUGCACUCGACGAUUUUAAAGGCUGCAGCUUCUCAUUCUCUCUCUUUUGCUCCAGAUUCCUCUUGUCUUCUCUCUUCUCUCUGAAUUUUUCCUAUGCCUCUCUGCUUCUCUCUCUCUCUCACCCUGCCCAACACGGUUCUUCAUUUUCUCUUGGGUUAUGAAAUGAAUAGAGGCUGUCAGUAUUUCAUCCCAUCUGUAUUAAAUAAUAGUGAUAAAAAUAAUCAACACACAAUAAAACUAAAGUCAACUGUAGUGGCACAGAGUAGGACGUGUUCGAUUGACUACAAAUUGGCAGAAGCAUCCAAUUUCCUUGACAAGGUUUAGGCGGCCGCUUCGGACCCGGGGAGGUGGCGUGCAGUCCACGCGGUGGCCCUGGGAGGAGGCCGGUGGCGGCUCUGAGCGACGAUAUUCGAUGUACACAAAGCACAUCGAGGAGUCCAAUCUUCAUUCAGAUUUUUAAAUGGAAAAGAAUUGAUCCUAAUGAAAAUGAUUUUGGGAAAAUAACAGGGGAAAUAAAAGAAAUGAAAACAGCUCAGCAGCACAGUCGGAAAAGCUCAGCAGGGAAUUGGAUUAGUUUAAUGGAAUUUGCUCUGAAAAACAUGUCUUUAUGAAAACCAAUGUUGGUACAAUUCUCAUUAAGACGGUUAAAUUUGUGUGUGUUUGCAGUGGAGUUGACAGGGUCAGUGGGAACGGAGGGUCCGAGGCACGGUGUUUUGCUGCUGCUGAUCUUUCCUUUCUGUCCUAAAUCUUCCUGGAGAGCUUCCCAGUUGGGCAUGCUGGCUUCAGGGGUGGCACGCUGGUAAAGUGGGUGCAUGUUGUCACCAGAGCAUGCGCCAUCUUGGUGACAUGCCUCAGCUGGUCUGCUCCCUCUUGGUGGGGUUGUGGGUGGGGUGACGUGCUGACUCCAGCAGUGAGGCAGAACGUCCUGGGUCAGUGGGGACUUGUCCUCUGGACAGUUGUCUGCAGUGCUACUGUCGAGGACACAUGAAGGCUGGGACAUUCCUAUGUGCAAUCCUUCCUUGGACGCCAGGGUGUGGCCCCUCUCAGGGCUCCAUGCUGGCCCCAAGGACAUGCCCCUGACUGGUGCCAAGUGUUACCUGGUCAUGGAGGCUGAGCCUGUUUGGGAGGUGGUGGUCCUGGAGGCGCUGCUUCUGGGACUAAAGCCAUUUCCCGGGGCGUGAAAAGAGCUUGUCCUCUGCUGGCAGGCUUUAUUUACCACCAGCAGUGCGUGGUGCUUCUCUUUCCAGAUCAGCCCUGCCUUGGAGGAUUUCCAGGAGCGCGCCACCCUCAGGAGGUGGCCAGCAGUUGGAGGCCUCUGGAGGGUAGGUGCGUGGGUGCCGCCCCGGACGUGCCUUGAGUAUACUGAUGUGCGCCAUCUGGUCCUCUAGCUGUCGCGAUCCAGCCGGUUCUCACGGGCACUUCUGGAGGCGAUGCCAGCUCUGAGGAGGAGUCUCUGAACUGCAGGACGGCUUCCGGGAGGCGCCCACCGUUGCUGCAGCGGCCGUGGUCCUGGAGUCCGUGUCACCUUGGGUAGCUGAGGAGAGGUUGUCUGUGAUGAGUUCGCUUUAUUAAUGACGAAUAUAACACAGAUGGCCUGUCUUCAGUACCACCUACGCCUCGCAUGCAGGGCCGGGCCUGAGGCCUGCCCCGUCCAGGGUACGUGAAUGCAUGGGCUCUGCAAUGACAUUUACCACCCUCUCUGCUGACCUUCAACAUUUUGACUCCGUCCUGGGAGAGCUUCCUGGAGGGCAUGUCGACUUCGGGGAAGAAGCGGGGGUUUUGCAUUGGGGAGGCUGGUCAUGAAGCAUUCGCUUGACGUGUGACGAGUGACACGGGCUCUGGCUGUUUCCAUGCUCAGUGCCAUUGAGGCAGAGGGCUCCCCAAUGGAACCCCUCACUGAGGGCUGACCACAUGCAUGGCCUGCACCCGGGAAGCGUGUCCCGGCCGCGUUCCCCUCACCCCAGUGCCUCGGAGCCCCGCAGGGUGACACCCCUGGGAAGAGCCGGAGGCCUGCCUGCUGAGCGUGCUGCUCCACGUGGUGCUGAGGAGAGGUCGCCCGUGGCGCGUUCGCAUCCAUCAUGACGCACAAUACACGGUCGACCUCUCUUCAGUAUCAGCUCCCGCCUUGCAUGCCUCCUGCACGCCCGCCGUCGGGAGGGCCGCGCCGCCACUGCAUGGCCAAGGGCCCGCCCCUGCCACCUCGCAUCCCGCCCCCCCGGGGCGGGUGGCGGGCCGUCUGGAGGAAGAACCUCCCGUCUGGAGUCAGCCCUGCUCAGUGGUCCCUGAAAUAGGUUGCCUGUGAGGUGUUCACUUUCUAUACGAUGAAUAUUAUACAGUCAACCUCUUUCCGGAAUCGAAUCCCGCCGUGGACAACCUCCACUCCGGGUGCCGACUCCAGGCGGCGGAAGCCUCUGGAUUGGCUCACCUGGGCACCUGCUGUAGCUCCUGUGCCACCUGGCCUGGUAGUUUCCCAGCCCCCUCCGUUCUGGAGGGCUUCUCAAAACACCACGGAGGGACCUCUGAGUCCCCUAGUCGGUGCGCCCCAACAUCCCUGCCCCUGGCGGUUCCCUCCGCGUGGGGCCAGGCCUUUACCUGCUGGUCCCCAUUUCACCUUGGCAUCCUCACGUCCUCGGCCCUACUCAGACCACGGCAGGAUCACCGGGGGUGGGAAGGGUCCAGGGCAGUUGGACACGUGAACUCCAAGAUGCCUCCACAGGGUGGGCGAGGGGUCAGUGUUCGUUAACUGUCUCGUGGGCCUCAGGAAGCUCUUUCUGAGCGGGGUGGCAGCAUCCCCAGGGGUGCAGGACCACAUCCUCACCCUGGAGGUCUCACCACCGUGCAUGCCUCUCCCCUGUGGGAUUCUCUGUCAAGACGGGGGUCUCUCUGGGCCUGGACCACUGCACAGGCCUCCGUUGGUUCUCCCUCCACUGCCUCCUCCUCCUUCUGCCAGGGAGAACUCCCCAGAGUGCAGUCUGGCUCUCUCUGCACAGCCUGGAGCCCCUCUGUUGCACCCCUCCCCUCGUGGCUGGCUCCAAGAUGGUGACUAGUGUCCCAAGGCCCUGGACCGGCCACCCUCAUUCCUGCCACUUCCUGCCUUUCAUGCUUCACAGUAUGUCCCAGUUAGCAUCCCUCUGUCCUCCCACGGGGAGCUGAGUCCCGGUGGUCUCCUCUGUGCAGCCUGCCCCUAGCCUCCUGCCGUCCAGGGUCCAGACCUCCGUCCCCAGUCCCCGUGCCCUGCAUAUCCUUUUUUCAGGACACUCCACACAGUGUCCUGUUCCCCCUGCAAGUGGCAGCCCCCUUUCUAGAGCAGGAGUUCAGGAUUCUAGAGGGGAUGAAAUGUCCCUGGUCCCCCAGUCUAGCCCCCAACUCUUCCCAGCCAGCUUCAAUCAGCCACCCUGUCAGGUUUUCUGCCUUAGCUUUCUGCCAUCCAAAGUGAAUUGAGGUUAAUGUCUACUUCCCUCUCCCCUUAGACUGUAAGAUUUCUGAGGGCAGGCAUUUUUUCUGUCCUGUUACCUGGUGUGUCCCCAACCCCAGGACCCAGCCAGGCCCAUAGCAGAGGAAUGAUGGGUGUUUGUUGAUUGACUGUCAGACUCCCUAAGGGCAGGGACCUUAUGAAGUUAACCCCAGGAAAGUGCCAGGCCCAAAGGAGGCAGGCAAGAAGACUUGGUGAAGAGCCCAUGAAUAUGGUAAUCGGCUUUAGAAAUUCUUUGCAUUUGUUAAAAGCUGUUUGGUUUUCCGGCUUUUUCUGUCCUUUCCAGGAUGUGAUUUCAGAGUCUGAGGUUUGCUGCAAAAGAGACAGGUGAGCUGGUUGUGGGCUCUUCUUUCCACCUCCCAAGGGGUCCCCGGGGCCCUGAAAGGAGUGACCAGCCCCCAUAUGAUCCCGCAGACACCAACUGAGUGCGCCCCCAGCUUCCGGCCGAUCGGUGGCCGGCAGAGCCAGGUGCUCUGGGGAACUCCGUCUGCGACGGGCUGGAGCCUGGUGUCAGGGCUAAUAUUUUAUGCAUGGAACUGACUAAAUGGGAACAUUUGGAGAUGAAAAUUGCUUUAAUGCAGCCACACAUCUUUGUAAUAUAUUAAAUGUAUGUGGGGGGUGGGAGGCGACAUUACCCUUCCUUAAUAACUCCAAUGUAACCGUCCCCACACCACGGCAUUAACAAGCGCGGGCACCCCCCCGAGUCCGCUAUAGGCCACCGCUUGGGUACAUCAGUCACCACUUGAGAACUAUGCAUGAGACAAAGUGUCAGCCCAGGGUAGCAGGCAUUGCAGCGGGAUGUUCCAGACUCAUCUGAGACCCAAAGACAGUGACCCCAUGCUGCUGAGUGCAGAAUUUCAUUAAAAGCCAAAUUACUGGUUUAUCUGUUGUUUGAGGAGAAGAGAAAAUAAACAAAGAGCUUUUCUCAUCUGACAAGCUGAAUGAGAACGUCGGUCCCCCCAGCGGCCAGGAUGAGAUUCCCGGGGACCCUGAGCCGGAGGUUCAGAGCCCUGGGCCCACCUCUGAGGUGCUGCGUAAACCCAACCGUGGCUCCAAGUUCACGUGCACGCCUUUCCUGGUGCCUGCGUGGGCUGGUGUCCCAGCUCCCCGCACUGUGUCCCCUGGACACGGUUCCACAAGAAUCUGGAGGGCGUUGGGCAAAUCGGACCCACGUUCCCAUCCUCUUGUCAUUUUCAAGGGAGAUAAGAAAAAUCAUAGCUGCCCCAAAUGGGCUUUUGCCUUGUUCCUGGGCCCGCCUCCACUCUGGGGUGUUUACUCAUGCUCCUCCUCAGCCCUUGGGGGCAGGUUCUGUUUCACGGAUAAAGAAAUGGGGCACAGAGAGGUUGAGUGACUUGGCCAAGAUGAUCCAGCAGGGCGGCAGGGCAGGGUCUGGCUCCAGGCUGCUUGUUCUUAAUCAAGCUCGCUGCCUGCUGUUGCUUGCGAGCCAGCGCCUGGCUUCAGGAACUGUCCCUGUGUCCUAGAAGAAGGUGGGCCCGUCAAAUCUCCCCAAAUUCUCUUUGCACGAUGGGGUAGGCUCCCUUUUCCCCACACUUAGCUUGCUAUACUUUUCAUGGCCUUUAUCCCUGCACCCACCUGGGGUCUCCGGUGGCAUCGCCCACAAAAUGGGGGGUUGCAGCUGGGUGCAGCCCCGUGGCCCCUGGCUGUGCCUGGCCUGGGGGAGGGCUGCUGGCUCUGUCGGAAGCCUGGGUCCAGGGAGAUCUAGGUACUGAGACCGCAUGGCCCCGCGUCUUGCGGCCACAUUGAGCGCGUCUGACGGCGGUAUUUGCUGCCUCGUUGAGUGCAGAUCUAGUCAGGGCGGCCCGUGAGCUGGAACAGGGCGCAGACUCGCCAGCGCAUCUCUGCAGGGCGGGGCUCCCCCCAGGUCCCCCCCACCCCCGGCUUCCGGCUUGUACACCUCCUGGCACUGCACGGAGUGGUGGCUGGUGCCGUCCUGGAGACCACCCCCUACCCCUUCCCCGAGGUCACAGUCUCAGUGGGCCCCCGAGGAUGCAAAGAACCCCUAAAUGUCCAGGCUGAGUGAGACCUCUCGUCCCGUUGCCCCUGCCCCCUUGCACCUCCUUACAGGCAAGACCACGGAGCUCCAAGAGCUCUGCCAUGGCUUCUUCCUGUGGGUUGUCUCUAACUUUGAGGUUGAGACUUGAAAGGAAACAGGCUGCAAACGGCGCCCCUUGUGCUAAACCCCACCAGGACUCCACGCCUCGCCUGAGGGCGGUCCCAGCCGCUCCCCAAGCGCACUGUUGAACCCCUCAGUCUGGAAGUUCCUCGGGAGCCCCAGUGAGGUCGUCCGCCCCAUUAGACCCCCUGCCUAGAAAAUCCUGCCAUUUCCUACAGCUCCUUGGAGCUCCCUUCUGCUUGCGAGAUACAGUGCCCCGCGGUUCACGAAUCAUUGAAUUAAGCUAACCCGAUCUUGACAUUUCCUCAGCUGAAUCUAGGUUUUUAGUAAGACCCGCCUCUGGUGAAGAAGUAGGUUCCCUCCUUGUGACAGAGGGGACCCAGCAGCCUGGGGCUGUAGAAGCACCUAGUGGGACUCAGUACCCGCGGCGGGGAUGCUGCCUCCUGCCGCUGGGCUUCCCGAAGCCAUGGCCUUGACUCCGCGGAGCCGGCUCACAGUAGGUGCACAGCUAAUACCCGGAUCAAAGCUGGCCUCACACGCCGGCGCAGCGCAGGUGUUCAGCACGUGAGGGUGUAUUGAAUCCGAUCUUUAUAGCCGGGAGCGACUACGCAGGAGGCGCUGGGAGAAUGUUUGUGGAAUGAAUAAAUGAAAGCAUGCUCUGAGGGAAUAAAGAAGCAGAGACAGGAAGAAGAAUCUGGGGUAGACAGACAUGAAUCUCCGCCAAGGCCAUGCAGUCGAGGCCGCUGUGAAGACCCCGUGGAGGCAGAGGGGCCAUUUGUCACCAGCAGGGACAGGCCCUAGGGCCGGGAAGCACGGGCGCCAUGCGGUCUCGUUCAUCAUCAUCCCAUUAUUAGGGAUGGUGCCAUCUUACUCAGGACGUGGAGGACGCAUGCGAAGCGCGCUGCCCGCCAGCCCGCGGAGUGCGCGCAGGGCUGGGGCUGGGGAAGGACCCCGAGGAAGGGCAGGUCUGGGGCCCGGAAGGCCUGGUGUGGGCAGCAGGGAGGACAGGAGCCACAUUGGGCCACGUGGCCAGUCCCCGGGUAGGACUUUGGUGCCUUUAUGGCUGCAGGACCCAAAUGGGAGUGUGAUGGGACCUCUCAAAGAACUCUUCGGGUUCUGGGUGCUGAAGUUGUUUUCAUAUCUACAAGUCCCAGUGCCAUGCCUUUGCUCAAGCUGUGGCCCUGCCUGGAAUGCCUGUCCCUCCUUAUCCUUGAAGGCUCUGCUCCAGUGCUACCUCCUCCAGGAAGCCUUCCUUGAUCCACCUCUAUACAUACAACUCCAAUAUGCAGUCAGUUAUCAGUCCUCUGAUCCUUUGAUCAAUGUCUCUCCCUGCCCAGCUUUCAGGCUGCACAGAGGCAGGGACUGUUUCUGGUUUGGUCACCAUGGGACACAGAACCUAGCCCGGGGAAGGCGCCACAUGAUGCUCAUUGGCCUUGUCUUCCCUUUGCAGGUGUGCUGGACCAGGCGCUUGCCUGUGCCCAGUAUACAGACAUCCCAUGCAUGGAGCCUUUGGUUGACCCCAACCAUGAGCCAAGGGCUGGACCAGAGGAGCCUACACCAGACCUCUUGUGCCUGGAGAGACGUGCGCUGUGAGCUGGGGAGCCCAGCCUGAUCCUGGAGGAGUUCCUCGGUUCUGUGGCCAGCCUGCUCAUGGGCCAGCUCUGCUUUCUCUCUCCUCCCCUGAUCCCCUCUCCUGCUUCACCAGCCUCCAUAGUGGUCCCGGCUCCUCAGGGCACCCAUGCUCCAGCAGAGAGAUGCCCAGCGCCUGCCAGACCAGCGCCCCCUCCCGCCUCACCCAGGAGGAAGGAGAGGCCACCCGCAGCCCCACUGCUUAAAGGACCCUGACUGAGUACCGGGCCAGACCUCAGCGGGGAGGGCUGUUGGGGUCCGGGGAGAAGUACUGAGGGGAGAUAAACUCUAGUAAAAGAGCAAAUGACCCGUGCCCUUCUCCACCCACGGCGGGGCUGGGAGGUGAAGAUGUGGGUUCGAAGGAGGUCAAAUUCCUGCUCUUCUUUUUCAAACACUUUGAACAUUGUCAGGCCAUUUGAAUAAUAAAUACGCAUUAUAAAAAUCUAAGUGUGUUUGUGUGUCUGUGUGUUCCGAGAUGAUGCUCCUUAAGUGGAAGAAGGUUUGAAACAAAGGCCAUCUGCCUUCAAGAGGGAGUCUCAGAGAGAGUCACUGGCCUUUGCCCGCGGGCCCUUGGCAGGGAGCAUCUCCCCGCUCAGGGGUCCAUCCCCCCGCGGGUGAGCUCACACUCCCAGGUGGGCGCCAGGGCCACGAAAAGACCUGAAAAGACCCGCUUUCCUCUCCAUCAGAGGUCUGAUGACUCCCCAGCCCCAGCUUCCGGCCCCCCCGGGCCGCGGCCAGGGCCCCGGGGCAGAGCGGGCGCCCACGCCUCCGCUGCCAGCCUCCGCCUGGUCACGACGCAGCCGGGCUGACUCAGCCGGGCCGCGCGGAGCCGCGUCAAUUACAUAAUUA
rnacentral:lncRNA from 1 species